rnacentral:rRNA from 1 species
GAUGAACGCUGGCGGCGUGCCUAAUACAUGCAAGUCGAGCGAACGGACGAGAAGCUUGCUUUUCUGAUGUUAGCGGCGGACGGGUGAGUAACACGUGGAUAACCUACCUAUAAGACUGGGAUAACUUCGGGAAACCGGAGCUAAUACCGGAUAAUAUUUUGAACCGCAUGGUUCAAAAGUGAAAGACGGUCUUGCUGUCACUUAUAGAUGGAUCCGCGCUGCAUUAGCUAGUUGGUAAGGUAACGGCUUACCAAGGCAACGAUGCAUAGCCGACCUGAGAGGGUGAUCGGCCACACUGGAACUGAGACACGGUCCAGACUCCUACGGGAGGCAGCAGUAGGGAAUCUUCCGCAAUGGGCGAAAGCCUGACGGAGCAACGCCGCGUGAGUGAUGAAGGUCUUCGGAUCGUAAAACUCGGUUAUUAGGGAAGAACAUAUGUGUAAGUAACUGUGCACAUCUUGACGGUACCUAAUCAGAAAGCCACGGCUAACUACGUGC